rnacentral:rRNA from 1 species
GGUCAUAACUGNCAGUCGAACGAACUUCUUUAUCACCGAGUGCUUGCACUCACCGAUAAAGAGUUGAGUGGCGAACGGGUGAGUAACACGUGGGCAACCUGCCCAAGAGACUGGGAUAACACUUGGAAACAGGUGCUAAUACCGCAUAACCAUAGUUACCGCAUGGUAACUAUGUAAAAGGUGGCUAUGCUACCGCUUUUGGAUGGGCCCGCGGCGCAUUAUCUAGUUGGUGGGGUAAAGGCUUACCAAGGCAAUGAUGCGUAACCGAACUGAGAGGUUGAUCGGCCACAUUGGGACUGAGACACGGCCCAAACUCCUACGGGAGGCAGCAGUAGGGAAUCUUCCACAAUGGGCGAAAGCCUGAUGGAGCAACGCCGCGUGGGUGAAGAAUGUCUUCGGAUCGUAAAACCCUGUUGUUAGAGAAGAAAGUGCGUGAGAGUAACUGUUCACGUUUCGACGGUAUCUAACCAGAAAGCCACGGCUAACUACGUGCCAGCAGCCGCGGUAAUACGUAAGUGGCAAGCGUUAUCCGGAUUUAUUGGGCGUAAAGGGAACGCAGGCGGUCUUUUAAGUCUGAUGUGAAAGCCUUCGGCUUAACCGGAGUAGUGCAUUGUAAACUGGGAGACUUGAAUGCAGAAUACGAGAGUGGAACUCCAUGUGUAGCGGUGAAAUGCGUAGAUAUAUGGAAGAACACCAAUGGCGAAAGCGGCUCUCUGGUCUGUAACUGACGCUGAAGUUCGAAAGCGUGAG